GUGGCCCAGGACGGGUUUCUAGACUGUCCUCACUGCUCCGCGGGAGGCUCACUACGCCUCUCUGUAGUUUUGUGGAUUAGUCUUUUUGCUUUUCCUCAUGGGGCUCACCUGCUGGGCCACUCCAUACCAUAGGACAGCCCCCUGUACUGACCAGUGCCCCUGUACUGCCCGGAUUUCUCUACACCUCUCUCUCUCUCUCUCUCUCUCUCUCUCUCAUUCAGCUGGAACUCUCUGGGCUCUGCUAUUCCUGCCUCUAGACCUGAGCGUGGCUGUCCCCUCUUCCUAAGCCCUUCCCCUACCCUGGCUGGCUCUGUAAACCUCUUCCAGGUGUUGGUGCAGAUGCUCAGACCUCAAGGAGACCAUCCUGGAUCCUCCCACAACUCCUGGAUCUUUCCCUUGUCCUACUUUUUGUUCUUACCAAUUUCUUCUUCUCCUUCCUCCUCCUCCUCCUCCUCCUCCUCCUCUUCUUCUUCUUCUAGAUUUUAUUUAUUUAUUUAUUUAUUUAUUUAUUUAUUUAUUUAUUUUAAAGGCAGAGUUACAGCACAGAGAGGGAGAGACAGAGAGAGAUCUUCCAUCUGCUGGUUCACUCCCCAAAAGGCCACAAUGCUCAGAGAUAGACUGAUCCAAAGCCAGGAGCCAGGAGCUUCUUGCGGGUCUCCCACGCAGGUGCAGGAGCCCAAGCACUUGGGCCAUCUUCUACUGCUUUCCCAGGCCAUCAGCAGAGAGCUGGAUCAGAAGAGGAGCAGCUGGGACCCAAACUGGUGCCCAUAUGGGAUGCCAGGGCGAGGCAGAGGCUUAGCCUACAAUGCCACAGCUCUGGCCCCACCAAUACUUCUAAUACAGUACAUAGUACAUAGUACUUCUAACAGAGUACAUAGUCCUAAAUACAUAAAAUAUACUUCACCAUAUGCUAUUUUUUUUUUUUUUUUGGACAGGCAGAGUGGGCACUGAGAGAAAGAGACAGAGAGAAAGGUCUGCCUUUUCCAUUGGUUCACCCUCCAAUGGCCGCUGUGGCCAGUGUGCUGCGGCUGGCACACCGCGCUGAUCCAAAGCCAGGAGCCAGGUGCUUCUCCUGGUCUCCCAUGCAGGUGCAGGGCCCAAGGACCUGAGCCAUCCUCCACUGCACUCCCUGGCCACAGCAGAGAGCUGGACAGGAAGAGGAGCAACUGGGACAGAAUCUGGCGCCCUGACUGGGAUUAGAACCCAGUGUGCCAUGGCGUCAGCCACCAUAUGCUAUUAUUUCUUCUCUGGAUCACUGAGAUGCCAUCACCCACUUAACAUGUACAACCCAGCUGCUUUUAGCAUAUGCCUGGAGGUUAGCAUCACCCCGUAAGGAAAUUUUGGGGGCUGGCUCUGUGGUAUAGUGUGUAAAGCUACCGCCUGCCAUGCUGGCAUGCCAUAUGGGUGCCGGUUCAAGUCCUGGCUGCUCUGCUUCCAAUCCAGUUCCCUGUUAAUGGCCUGGAAAAGCAACGGGAGAUGGCCCAAGUGCUUGGGCCUCUGCACCUGAGUGGGAGACCUGGAAGAGGCUCCUGGUUCCUGGCUUUGGAUUGGCACAGCUCCAGCCAUUGUGGCUAUUUGGGGAGUGAACCAGUGAAUGGUUCUCUCUCUCUCUCUCUCUCUCUCUCUCUCUCUCUCCUCUCUCCUCUCUCUCUCUCUCUGCCUCUGCCUUUCAAAUAAAUAAAAUAAAUAAAUCUUAAAAAAAAAAAAGAAAUCCUAUACCCUCGAAUGGUUUCUCCCCAUUUCCCACCAACCUCUACAGCCUUGGGCAACCCCUAACCCACUCUGGUUCUCUACUGCUUUGCCUGUUCUGAACAUUUCAUGUAAAUGGAAUCACAAUAUGCAAUCUUGGUGAAGGGCCUCUUUCAGUUAGCAUGUUUUUGAGUUUCAUGCAUACUGCAGCAUGGAUCAACACAUCACCUUCCACAAAGCACCUGCCACAACUACGCAUUCAGUUUAUAGAAUUGGAGGGACUUCCAUUUUUUGAUGGUUAUGAAUAACCUUGCUGUGAACAUUCACGUCCAAGUCUUUGUGUAGAGGCGUGUUUUCAUUUCUCUCCACCUAGCCAUGACUGAUUGGUUCAUAUGGAAAUGCUAUGUUCACAUUUUGAGGAACUGGUAAACCAUUCUUCACAGGGUGUCAAUGCACCAUAUUGCAUUCACGCUAACAAUCUAUGAGGACUUCCAUUUCGUCACAUACUCACCAGUACUUUUUUGCUGUUUUUUUUUUUUUUGGUUGUCUUUUUUAUAGAGGGUGUCCUUUUUUUUUUUGGUUGUAUUUUUUUCUUUUUUGGUUGUGGCAAUACACACAUCCCAUAAAAUUCCGCAUUUUAUUCAUUUCAAGUGGCAUGAAGGAAGGACACUCAUUAUGGCCACCAUCCAUUUCUACAACUUGUUCAUCAUCCCAAAUGGAAAACUUGACUCAUUAAACAUCACCUCCCCAGUCCCCUUCCCCUCUGUUCUACCCUCUGUCUCUGCAUAUCUACCUAUUGUAGGUACUGCACAUAAACGGAAUUGUACAGCACUUACCCUGCUGUCUCUGUGUGAUUUCACUGAGCAUGUUUUUAAGGCUCAUCCAGGUUGUGCCAUAUCUUAUUCCAUUGUAUUGAAAUCCUUUGUCUUUGUAUGUGCAUGUCCCAUUUUGUUUACCCCUUCUUUGUGGAUGGAUGUUGGGGUUGUUUCUAUCUGUUGGCUAUUGUGAAUAGUGUUGCCAUGAGCAGUGGUGUCAAGAAUCCGAGUCUCUUUUCAAUUCACUGUGUAGGCACCUGGGGUGGAAUUGCUGAGUAUCUGACAAUUCCAUCUUUCUUUCUUGUUUCCUUCUCUCUCUCUCUCUCUCUCUCUCUCUCUCUCUCUCUCUCUCUUUUAAUUUCUUUUCCACAGUGGCUGCACUAUUCUACAUUCCCACCAGGGCUUCCAAUUUCUCCACAUACUCACCAACAGCUGUGUGUGUGUGUGUGGGGGGGUGUGGGCAGGUGGCAUCCUAAGGAGUGGGAAGUGGUCUCCAUUGAGGUUUUAUUUUUCUGUGCUUAUUUCCUUGUUUUUCUUUCUCCUCUGGAUACCUAUCUGUUCACAUCGUUUGCCCAUUUUUAAAUUGGGCUAUUUGGGGUUAUUUGUCUUUUUAUGAUGGAGCAAGUCUUCAUUUACAAAUCUCUCCUGUGUGUUCUGUGAGUUUUCAUUUAGCUUUCCUGUCAGUGUCCAUUGAAGCAUAAACAUUAAACAUUUUGUACAGUAUUUUUGCUCAAACUUUGUCUUAGGUCAUUGCCAAACAGAUUGAUAGGAAUUAUGUAGCAUCACAGUUUUAAGGAUUUUGCUGCUGUUUUAAAUUUCCUUUAUAUGAGUGAAGUUGAAAAGUUUUUUCACCUGAUUAUUGUUUAUUGCUUAUUUUCCUGCUGACAUAGGUCUUUUUGCUUUUUAUUUGUUGAACUGUUUAUUUAGUAGGGCCAUUGAGCUUUUGACUAUAACAUAAUUAACAAAUAUAUUACCUCAAAAAAUUAAGUUACAAAAAAUUUUAAAUUUUGAUACAUUUAACGGAUUGGAUUUUUUUCCUUAUGUUUUUGAUUUGGCAUUUAAGAAGUUACCAGCUCAUUAAAGGUCAUAAAUAUUUACUCCUGUGUUUUCUUCCAAGUGUUUUGGAGUUGUUGGUUUUUUAAGAUUGAUUUUUGAAAAAGAUUUAUUUAUUCAUUUGAAAGUCAGAGUUAGAGAGAGAGAGAGGCAAAGGCAGAGGCAGAGGCAGAGGCAGAAAGAGAGAGAUCUUCCAUCUGCUUGUUCACUCCCCACAUGGCUGCAAUGGCCGGAGCUGGGCCAAUCCAAAGCCAGGAGCCAGGAGCCAGGAGCUUCUUUCGGGUCUCCCAGGCGAGUGCAGGGGCCCAAGCACUUGGGCCAAUUCCACUGCUUUCCCAGGCCAUAUAGCAGGGAGCUAGAUUAGAAGUAGAGCAGCUGAGACUCAAACCUGCAUCCAUAUGGGAUGCUGGCAGCCCCAUUGUUUUGUAGUUGUAAGUCUCUGAUUCAUCUGAAUUUUUGUAUAGACUAUGUUAUAGGAAAUCGAAAUUCAUUCUUUUGCAUGUGACUAUCCAAUUAUUCCAGCACUAUUGGUUGUAAAAUGAAACAAUACUUUCUUCCAUGCAAUGGACUUGGCACUCUUGAAAAUUAGUUGAUCAUGAAUAGGAGAGCUUAUUUCUGAACUUUGUUUUAUUCUCUUGACCAAUAUGUUCAUCCUUGUGCCAGUAAAACACACUUUCGAUUCUGGCACCUUUGCAGUAAGUUUUGAAAUCAGAAAGUGUGAGUCCUCCGUUUUUUUUUUGUUUUUGUUUUUGUUUUUUUAAAUUUUCAUUGUUUUGGCUCUUCUGGGUGGAUCCCUUGCUGUGUAGAAAAGAGCUGAUGCUGCAGGCAUAACUGCUUAUGCUUAAAAAGGCUUUCCUGUAAGUUUGGCUCUUGGCUGGCUCUGACAACUUGCACUGCUAGUUAGAGUGGCUCUUGGUGCCCCAACUGUUUCUAUGGUGGUUGAUGCCAAAGACCUUCUUUCCUUCUGGAAACCUGAUAUUAGGGUACCUGCUGAGCAGGAGGUGCCUACACGCUGUGCAGAAUAUGCCCCCUGGUAAAAAUUCUGGGCACUGAGCCCUAAUGAGCUCCCAGUGGCCAACCUUCCACGUGUGUUGCCACUGCUUGUUGCUGUGUGGCUCCAUGGGAGAGGACCUUAGGGAACUGCUGCCUUCUUUUCUUCACACUCUUGCCCCUUGCUGGCUUUAUUCUGUGCCCUGUCAGUGUAACAAGUCAUGUCUGUGCGUAUGACUCUAUGCUGAGUGCUGUGUGUGUCACACAGUGAGUCACUGAACCUGGGCGUGACCUCCCGUGCACAUGACACACUUGCAUUUCCAUAGGAGUCUUAAGCUCAGCUUGUCAGUGUCAUCAACACUCCAGCUGGGAUUUCACAGGGGCCGCUUUGACCGGGGAGGUCGAAUGGGGGAGCUUUGGCUAUUGUUUGCCAGGCUGUCACCACAGAAGAAGUGUGAGCGUUACUGGGCCCAAGAGCAAGAGCCACUGCAGAUUGGGCCUUUCUGCAUUACCCUGGCCAAGGAGGCACGGCUGAACUCGGACAUUGUGCACAGGACCCUCCAGGUCACAUUCAAGAAGGAAUCCCGUUCCGUGCACCAGUUGCAGUAUACUUCCUGGCCAGACCGCGGGGUCCCCAGCAGUUCUGACAAUGUGCUCACCAUGGUGGAAGAAGCCCGGCGCCUCCAUGGACCAGGCCCUGGACCCCUCUGCAUCCACUGCAGUGCGGGCUGCGGGCGAACCGGUGUCCUGUGCACGGUGGAUUACGUGAGGCAGUUGCUGCUGACCAAGAUGAUCCCACCGAACUUCAGCCUCUCGAACGUGGUGCUGGAGCUGCGGAAACAGCGGCCCUCCGCGGUGCAGACGGAGGAGCAGUAUCGGUUCCUGUACCACACGGUGGCGCAGAUGUUCCGCUCCGCGCUGCAGAGGGCCAGCCCCCGCCACCAGGACCUCAAGGAGAAUUGCUCCCCCGUCUACGCCGAGGUCGACUCCCUCCGGAAGUCCCCAGCCCUUUUGGGUACAGCACCCCGGCCGGCAGGCGAGGUCCUCAGACAGGACCACACUGCUUUCCAGGGCCCUGCCCCGUCCACCUGCCACGCCGGCCCCGCCCGCUCUGUCACCCACUUAACUGGCGGGUCGCUGAGAACGUGCUCAGGAGACCCCACCCUCUGCCCUCCGAACCUUGCCGCCGUCGCCCUCCUUCCCUGCGCGCUGUCUGGGCGAGCAGGAAGCCUGCGGUUUGCUCGGCUCACGCUCCCCGCCCCCGCGGGCCACGGGAGCCGCCGUUUCACUUCCUCUGCGCGCUCCCCACCCGCAGAAGCAUCUCGGUGCCCGGGGCGCCGACCCUUGCCAUGGCCCACACGUACGCGGUGGUGCAGAAGCGCGGGGCCCCGGCGGGCGCGGGCCCCGGGGCGCGGACCGGAGACCCCGAGGGGGAGAAGCUCUACAGUCAGGUGACACCGCGCGCCCUGCGGUCGGGGGCGCACUCCGAGGACGCGAGGCGGCCAAUGCCUGCGCAGGCUCCUGCUAACCAAAGCCCUGAGGGACCUGAUGCUUAUGAGGAUGUUGCCGAUGGGGCGCAGACCAGUAGGCUAG